GACGAACGCUGGCGGCAUGCCUAACACAUGCAAGUCGAACGAGACCUUCGGGUCUAGGGGCGCACGGGUACGUAACGCGGGGUAACCUGCCCUUAGGUUCGGAAUAACUCCCCGAAAGGGGUGCUAAUACCGGAUAAUGUCUUCGGACCAAAGAUUUAUCGCCUUUGGCUGGGCCCGCGUUGGAUUAGCUAGUUGGUAGGGUAAAAGCCUACCAAGGCGACGAUCCUUAGCUGGUCUGAGAGGAUGAUCAGCCACACUUGGACUGAGACACGGCCCAGACUGGUACGGAAGGGAGCAGUGGGGAACACUGGACGCUGGGCGCAAGUGUGAUCAAGCCAUGUCGCGUGAGUGAUGAAGGCGUUAGGGUUGUAAAGCUCUUUUACCCGGGAUGAUAAUGACAGUACCGGGAGAAUAAGCUCCGGCUAACUACGUG
rnacentral:rRNA from 1 species